UACGUAGGGGGCAAGCGUUGUCCGGAUUUACUGGGCGUAAAGAGCGUGUAGGCGGCCACGCAGGUCCGUUGUGAAAACUGGAGGCUCAACCUCCAGCUGUCGACGGAAACUGUGUGGCUAGAGUCCGGAAGAGGAGAGUGGAAUUCCUGGUGUAGCGGUGAAAUGCGCAGAUAUCAGGAAGAACACCAAUGGCGAAGGCAGCUCCCUGGGACGGUACUGACGCUGAGACGCGAAAGCGUGGGGAGCGAACAGG
rnacentral:rRNA from 1 species